UACAGCCAUAUCAUAUUGAAACACCAGUUCUCGUACGAUCUCUGGUUAAGCAACAUCGAGCCUGGUCAGUACCUAGAUGGCUGACCGUUUGGAAAUACCAUUUGCUGUAAG